AUGGGACGCGCAAAGGCAAUUGAUGAGGCCGAUUUGCAAGAGGUACUGUCUAUGCGUGAAGAUUUGGGUGUUCUUCAGAAGGAUCAAGCCCAGAUGCAAGCGGAUAUGGCCAAACUGCAUGAUGAUGUUCAUUCAGUCAGUUCCAAGCAAGGAGAAAUAUCACUGCAAGUGGGAAGCGUAGAGCAAGUAGUUUUGGACUUGGGCAAGCAAUUAUCCACUAUAAAUGCAGUGCUACAGACCUUGGUUAAGGCUCCUAUACAGAGAGAGACCUCAGAUCCAGCUUCGAGUUCACAGCAAGUGCCCAAGUCCCCAACAGUGUCUCAAGAACAAUUGCAAAACCAAGCACUCAGGACAGAGCAACUCAAGAAACAACUUGAAGUAGAAAAAGAGAAGACCAGACAGUUGGAAGAGCUACAAAUGCAGAACUUGCCUCCCAUUAGAACAAACAGGCCCGCAGCUCCACCAGGAUUCAAUCAGCAAAGCAGAACAGAGCAUGCUAGUCCUUUAGGAACCCCACUGACUGCCAAGCACAAUGCUUAUACACCUGCAUUUCAACAGCACUACCAACAAAACAGAGACAAACAAUUGUGGCAGGGCUAUGCAAAAACUUAUGAGCAAGACAUGCAAUGUCAGUUCAUGAAAUCCUUGACAAAAGGGCCUAAAAUGGAUUUUCCUAGAUUUGAAGGUGAAGAUCCAGUGGGUUGGAUAAGGCAAUGCAACAGGUACUUUCAAAUGUCUGGAGCACCAGAAAAAUAUAGGGUCUCAUUAGCUCAACUCUACAUCAUGGGGGAAGCAGAUGUGUGGUUAAGGAGGUCUGGACUACUGAAGAAAAAAAGUGUCAUGGAAAGAAUUCUGUAUAGAAAUCACUAA
rnacentral:rRNA from 1 species